GAUAGCGCGGUGGUCCCACCUGACCCCAUGCCGAACUCAGAAGUGAAACGCCGUAGCGCCGAUGGUAGUGUGGGGUCUCCCCAUGUGAGAGUAGGGAACUGCCA
rnacentral:rRNA from 1 species